rnacentral:rRNA from 1 species
UACAGAGGGCGCAAGCGUUGUUCGGAUUUAUUGGGCGUAAAGGGUGCGUAGGCGGCUCGGCAAGUCGGGUGUGAAAUCUCGGAGCUUAACUCCGAAACUGCAUUCGAUACUGCCGUGCUUGAGGACUGGAGAGGAGACUGGAAUUUACGGUGUAGCGGUGAAAUGCGUAGAUAUCGGAAGGAAGACCAGUGGCGAAGGCGGGUCUCUGGACAGUACCUGACGCUGAGGAACGAAGGUCAGGGGAGCAAACGGG